ensembl:miRNA
UAUUAGGUUGGUGCAAAAGUAAUUGCAGUUUUUGCUAUUGCUUUUAAAUGGCAAAAAACUGCAGUUACUUUUGCACCAACCAAUAUUU